rnacentral:rRNA from 1 species
AUUGAACGCUGGCGGCAGGCCUAACACAUGCAAGUCGAACGAGGGGCGGACGGGUGAGUAAUGUCUGGGAACCUGCUCGAUGGAGGGGGAUAACUACAGGAAACGGUAGCUAAGACCGCAUACAAUCGGAUGUGGCUAGAUGGGGUUAGCUAGUAGGUGGGGGAACGGCUCACCUAGGCGACGAUCACUAGCUGGUCAGAGAGGUUGACCAUCCACACUGGAACUGAGACACGGUCCAGACUCCUACGUGAGGCAGCAGUGGGGAAUAUUGGACAAUGGGCGCAAGCCUGAUGCAGCCAUGCCGCGUGUGUGAAGAAGGCCUUCGGGUUGUAAAGUACUUUCAGCGGGGAGGCGUUACUCGCAGAAGAAGCACCGGCUAACUCCGUGCCAGCAGCCGCGGUAAUUC